CUGUGGGUGAGCUCCCAGUAUUACAAAUUCGAUUUUCAUUGAUUUCACACAAAGUUCACAGAGUUCUGUCUACUAAAUUACCAAAAAAGAAAACAUUCAUAUUGGCUGCUGACAUUAGUUCACUGGAAGAAGAUAAAGUGGUCAUAGGUUAAAUUUUUCUAAGUAACCUUCCUGUCUGCCUACCUGCGCGUCACCGGAGUCUUCCACAAGCUUCUAGCUUGACAUCUAUCCCACCAAUCGGCAGGACAGCGCAGAUCGACGGACAGGAAAGAAAGGAUAUUGACUUGUCUUUGAGAGAACUUCCUCAACUGAGAGCCGGGUCAGCCAAGUGUACUUGUUGGAUUUUCUCUGAAACCUCAGUUGAAGUCACUCAAUCAACCUUACCUCACAUACACAAAAGUGCCAAUUCAAG